rnacentral:rRNA from 2 species
ACGGGGUGCAGCAGGCGCGAAACCUUUGCAAUGUGCGCAAGCACGACAAGGUUAAUCCGAGUGUUUCCUGCUAAAGGAAUCUUUUGUUAGUCGUAAAACCACUGAUGAAUAAGGGGUGGGCAAGUUCUGGUGUCAGCCGCCGCGGUAAAACCAGCACCUCAAGUGGUCAGGAGGAUUAUCGGGCCUAAAGCAUCCGUAGCCGGCUCUGCAAGUUUUCGGUUAAAUCCAUUUGCUUAACAAAUGGGCUGCCGAAAAUACUACAUAGCUAGGGAGUGGGAGAGGUAGACGGUAUUCGGUAGGAAGGGGUAAAAUCCUUUGAUCUAUUGAGGACCACCUAUGGCGAAGGCAGUCUACCAGAACACGUUCGACGGUGAGGGAUGAAAGCUGGGGGAGCAAACCGGAUUAGAUACCCGGGUAGUCCCAGCUGUAAACGAUGCAGACUCGGUGAUGCACUGGCUUGUGGCCAGUGCAGUGCCGCAUGGAAGCCGUUAAGUUUGCCGCCUGGGAAGUACUUACGCACGUAUGAAACUUAUAGGAAUUGGUGGGGGAGCAC